CAACUACUCCCUCUGUCCCAAAUUUCUUGUCUUAGAUUUGUUUAGAUACGAAUGUAUCUAAUACUAAAAUGUGACUUGAUACAUCCGUAUCUAGACAAAUCUAAGACAAGAAUUUUGGGACGGAGGGAGUACUUU
rnacentral:pre_miRNA from 1 species